UCAAGGAGCAGUUAAUUAGCCAAGAUCCCGGGAGCAGCAAGGGUGGCUCAGUGCAGCUCUGCUCCCAGCAGUGACAGCUCCAGCUUUGCUCUCCUGUCCUGCCUUGUUUUCACUGAAACUUCCCGGAGCCGUGGAAAACGCACAAUUAGAGGCUGUUAGGUGAUUGAUUCCUGGGCGAAGGGGCCUUUCCUCCUUGCCUGGAAGGUCUGGCAGGUAUUCCACCUGCUGAGUGCUGCUCCCAGAUAGAGGAUUCCAGUGGGAAGAGCAGCACCAGGAACUGUGUGGAAAAAUUCCCCCAGUCUCCUUCUGGAUGAAUGCAGCGGAUUUCUGGAUCCAGAAGGGGAAGAUUCCUGCUCUGCUGCUCCAGACUCCUGAGCAUCCACCCAUCCUCCUCAGCCAACCUACUUUGUAUUAACAGCAAUUCAAAUGUUAACAGCUGCUGUCCAUGUUCGUCAAAAAGCAGCUUAAUACAAAUAUAUGAUUAUUGUAUGAGCAUUGUAUAAAAGAUACUUGGUUGUGUCUUAAGCUAAAACAACAAUAUACACUUUUAUCCAA